GCUGUUGGCACCCACAUUUCUUUAGCUGGGGGUUCUUCUGGCUGCUGGCACGCACUGAGCAUAGAGCCUUGUCCAGUGGGGGGCAACCAAGUUUGUCAGAACUUUCCUCGCACCCUGGAGCUGCUCAGGAAGGAUGCAAGGGCACAGAGUGGAAACGUGCCCCUUCCCCAGCUUAGGACAGCUGUUGUCUCAGAUGCUUCAAGACGGUGUUCUCGUUCUCGGCACAGCUGGCCUUUCUCACUGGCUCCCCCUGCCCGAAGAGCUUCUUUCUUGUUGGACCCUGAGAAGUCUGGAGAAGAAGGCAGGGCUGAGAGGAAGACAUUGUUUGAGCCCUGAUUAAGCCAUUCCUGAAGCUAGCUACCCUGGAACCUUUCAGUUAUAUGAGCCAACGAAUUCCUUUUUUGCUUAAAGCAAGUUUAUGUGGUGUGUAAUAAUAAGAAAUCUGUGUAUUUGGUUUUUUUCUCU